GCCCAGAUGGCGGAAUCGGUAUACGCGCAGGUUUCAGGUACCUGUGCCGCAAGGCAUGGAGGUUCAAAUCCUCUUCUGGGCACCA
rnacentral:tRNA from 4 species